AUUGAACGCUGGCGGCAUGCUUUACACAUGCAAGUCGAACGGUAACAGGCCGCAAGGUGCUGACGAGUGGCGAACGGGUGAGUAAUGCAUCGGAACGUGCCCAGUCGUGGGGGAUAACUACUCGAAAGAGUAGCUAAUACCGCAUACGAUCUAUGGAUGAAAGCGGGGGACCGUAAGGCCUCGCGCGAUUGGAGCGGCCGAUGUCAGAUUAGGUAGUUGGUGGGGUAAAGGCUCACCAAGCCAACGAUCUGUAGCUGGUCUGAGAGGACGACCAGCCACACUGGGACUGAGACACGGCCCAGACUCCUACGGGAGGCAGCAGUGGGGAAUUUUGGACAAUGGGCGCAAGCCUGAUCCAGCAAUGCCGCGUGCAGGAAGAAGGCCUUCGGGUUGUAAACUGCUUUUGUACGGAACGAAACGGCUCUGGUUAAUACCCGGGGCUAAUGACGGUACCGUAAGAAUAAGCACCGCUAACUACGUG
rnacentral:rRNA from 1 species